ensembl:processed_transcript
UACCCAGCCGGCACACGACCGACCUUCAACGUUGAAAUAUGGUUGAAAUAAGGUCAGUUGUGUUUUGAACGUUGAAAUAAUGUUGAUAGAACGUUUAAUGUUGAAUGGUUGAAAAACAGCCUGCAUAUGACAAGGCUUCAACGUUGAAAUGUGGUUGAAAAUAUGUCAGUUGUUGCUUUAAUGUUGAAACAAUGUUGAAUGAUAAAUGGUUGAAAAAAGUUACAGAAAUCCUUGUACAAAUCAACGUUGACAUUUUUUUAUCAUGAUCUGUAUGUUGAAUUAACGUCAUGGCUUCACCCAACAUUCAACAUGUUUGGUUACCAUGGUAUUGGAGGACUCCGCGCACGCGGCCACGCAGCGCUUCACUUCACUUAAUUACGAACACCUGACCUGCAGUGCAGCAGAAUUCCGAGACAUGUAACUUACUCCAGAGACGCACUAACUUGCACAGCAUUGAAUGGAAAAGGCUUUGUCCAUGUCCAGUUGAGGGCAUCAAGAACACGCAGAUGGCCUAAACCUGUGUCAGCCUGGACAGACUGCAGUUCUGCUACUCCACGCCAAGGCUUUUGUAUGGAUGUCUUGACUGCUACUGUGUUCUCUAAAGGUUUUCUGGAAGUUCCAUUUGAGAGCAUCAAGGACAUACUGAUGGCCUAAACCAGUGUCAGCCUAGACAGACAGACAGACAUCUAUUGCAGUUCUGCUACACAAGACCAAACUCUCUGCUUUUGUAUGGAUGUCUGACUAGUAUGGUGUUCUCUAAAGGUGUAACUGGAGCAAAACAACAGCACCCGUUACAGUGAAAUUUGUGUUCAUAAAAGAUAGUGAUAUAUCAGGUAUAGUAACAGGUCCAGUACAUUUGUCAUAAAGGUUAAAUCACAGUAAGUACUGUAAAAAUAACUUGUUUGCCUUUGCCACAACAGGUCAUGGUGUGUGCAAACUACUCGUAGUAAACACACACGCUGAUCUGAUGGGGGAGAGAUAUACGCAAACACAUUUGUAUUUACUGUUUUGUUUUGCCUCACUAAAGUGUUGUUGGAGCUUGGUAUGUUCACAGUUGAAAUCACUGAAGUCACAUGGAACGUUUUGACAAUGUGUUUUGUGCCUUAUCUUGACAAUGACCAUCUUGGGACCAUUGCUGUCUGUAGAGGAUGAGGAGCAUUUAAUCUAAAAUAUUUUAGUUUGUGUUCUGAAGAUUAACAAGUCUCUGGGAUGACACAAGUAAUUAAUAACAGAACCUAUAUGAACACUUAAUGUGACAUGUAAUAGUGAAAUAGUGGUCCUACAUUCACAAAUGUGAGCCAUUAUUAUAAGACCCAUGUGAACAUGCAAUUUUUAUGAUACUAAUAAUAAUAAUGGAAUAACAAAUUGCUUUUA